AGCGAACGUUUGCGGCGGGCCUAACACAUGCAAGUCGAACGCACUAGCAAUAGUGAGUGGCGCACGGGUGCGUAACACGUGGGUAAUCAACCCUUCAGCCUGGGAUAACGACUCGAAAGGGUCGCUAAUACCGGAUACGGCGCGAGAGGCUUCGGCUUCUCACGAGAAAGCCACGCAAGGGGCACUGAAGGACGAGCCUGCGGCCCAUCAGCUAGUUGGUGAGGUAAGAGCUCACCAAGGCUAAGACGGGUAGCUGGUCUGAGAGGAUGAUCAGCCACACUGGAACUGAGACACGGUCCAGACUCCUACGGGAGGCAGCAGUGGGGAAUAUUGCGCAAUGGGCGAAAGCCUGACGCAGCCACGCCGCGUGAGCGAUGAAGGCCUCGGGUCGUAAGCUCUGUGGGAGGAGACGAAGAAAGACCUGUGAAGAGCAGGCCUUGACGGUAGUCUCCUUAGCAAGCACCGGCUAACU
rnacentral:rRNA from 1 species